AUUGAACGCUGGCGGCAUGCUUUACACAUGCAAGUCGAACGGUAACAGCACUUCGGUGGCUGACGAGUGGCGAACGGGUGAGUAAUACAUCGGAACGUGCCUAGUAGUGGGGGAUAACUACUCGAAAGAGUAGCUAAUACCGCAUGAGAUCUAAGGAUGAAAGCAGGGGACCUUCGGGCCUUGCGCUACUAGAGCGGCUGAUGGCAGAUUAGGUAGUUGGUGGGAUAAAAGCUUACCAAGCCGACGAUCUGUAGCUGGUCUGAGAGGACGACCAGCCACACUGGGACUGAGACACGGCCCAGACUCCUACGGGAGGCAGCAGUGGGGAAUUUUGGACAAUGGGCGCAAGCCUGAUCCAGCAAUGCCGCGUGCAGGAUGAAGGCCUUCGGGUUGUAAACUGCUUUUGUACGGAACGAAAAGCCCUCUUCUAAUACAGGAGGGUCAUGACGGUACCGUAAGAAUAAGCACCGGCUAACUAUGUG
rnacentral:rRNA from 1 species